rnacentral:lncRNA from 1 species
CUGCCAUCUUUAUAUUCCCUGCACAGGUCUGGCACUGAAUCUUGCAGUGAAGAAUCAGUACCAGAACUCAAGGAACAAAAUUCCACAGAAUAAGCCCAGGUGGCAGCAGCAGCCGCAUUUGAUGAAGAACCAGUCAAGAAAGCAAAACACAGUCAGAGUGAAGAAAAGAAGGCACAGAAGGCUAUGGCUAUGUCCAAACUGGGUCUGUGAAAGGCUAUGAGGGUUACUAGAGUCGCUAUCCCGAAAUCUAAGAAUAUCCUCUUUGUCAUCACAAAACCAGAUGUCUACAAGAGCCUAGCUUCAAACACCUACAUAGUUUGGCUUGGGGAGGGGGGAGCGGGGAACUAAGAUCAAAGAUUUAUCUCAACAAGCACAGCUAAGAGCUGCUGAGAAGUUCAAAGUUCAAGGUGAAGUUGUCUCAAACAUUCAAGAAAACAUGCAGACUUAACUAUAUAAGAGGAGAGGUAAGAGGAGGAGGUUGAGGAAGCAGGUGUGAAACUUAAGGAUAUAGGAUUGGUCUUGUCACAAGCAAAUGUGUGAGCAAAGGCAGUCGGAGUCCUGAAGAACAACAGUGCUGAUAUUGUAAAUGCUAUCAUGGAAUUAAUGUAA